rnacentral:rRNA from 1 species
UUCUAGCUUGCUAGAAGAUGACGAGCGGCGGACGGGUGAGUAAUACUUAGGAAUCUACCUAGUAGUGGGGGAUAGCUCGGGGAAACUCGAAUUAAUACCGCAUACGACCUACGGGAGAAAGGGGGCAGUUUACUGCUCUCGCUAUUAGAUGAGCCUAAGUCGGAUUAGCUAGAUGGUGGGGUAAAGGCCUACCAUGGCGACGAUCUGUAGCUGGUCUGAGAGGAUGAUCAGCCACACCGGAACUGAGACACGGUCCGGACUCCUACGGGAGGCAGCAGUGGGGAAUAUUGGACAAUGGGGGCAACCCUGAUCCAGCCAUGCCGCGUGUGUGAAGAAGGCCUUUUGGUUGUAAAGCACUUUAAGCAGUGAAGAAGACUCCGUGGUUAAUACCCACGGACGAUGACAUUAGCUGCAGAAUAAGCACCGGCUAACUCUGUGCCAGCAGCCGCGGUAAUACAGAGGGUGCAAGCGUUAAUCGGAAUUACUGGGCGUAAAGCGAGCGUAGGUGGCUUGAUAAGUCAGAUGUGAAAUCCCCGGGCUUAACCUGGGAACUGCAUCUGAUACUGUUAGGCUAGAGUAGGUGAGAGGAAGGUAGAAUUCCAGGUGUAGCGGUGAAAUGCGUAGAGAUCUGGAGGAAUACCGAUGGCGAAGGCAGCCUUCUGGCAUCAUACUGACACUGAGGCUCGAAAGCGUGGGUAGCAAACAGGAUUAGAUACCCUGGUAGUCCACGCCGUAAACGAUGUCUACUAGUCGUUGGGUCCCUUGAGGACUUAGUGACGCAGCUAACGCAAUAAGUAGACCGCCUGGGGAGUACGGCCGCAAGGUUAAAACUCAAAUGAAUUGACGGGGGCCCGCACAAGCGGUGGAGCAUGUGGUUUAAUUCGAUGCAACGCGAAGAACCUUACCUGGUCUUGACAUAUCUGAAAUCCUGCAGAGAUGCGGGAGUGCCUUCGGGAAUUAGAAUACAGGUGCUGCAUGGCUGUCGUCAGCU